AGCAUAACGUUGCAGGUAUUUCUUACACAAAGUUCUGGUAUAGUACAACUCCAUUUGUGCAGCUAAGUAAAGUUUCACUUUGUGCAGUCACAUCCGGCAUUUACUGAAUACCAUGAUUUGCUAGCAACCUUGGAGGAAAUGCUUUCUUCUACAUCUAACUCCGAGGAUAAAUGAACUUUCUUCUCCAUUGUUUGGAAACUAAGCAUCCUAUCAUGGACUUCUAUGUUGAGCAUGUCGCCCUCCGGAUAAAACUGUAAAAUAGUUAUAUAAUGUUACACGGGGAAAACGUUAAGCAGCACUUGGAAGGAAAUAUGACGUGGGGUUAAAGUUCCUGAUUUGGCAUCACUAAAACUUAUUGCAGAAAUCAUUUGUAGAUAUGCAUAUUGCUGUUUAGUUCAAUAUUUUCUUCUGUUCCUUUUCUUGUUUGAUCACCGGUAGUAUUUUGCCUGUUGUCCUUUUUAGAGGACCACACAGGAGCGGCGGAAGGGUGGUGAAGAGGUAGUAUUGUAUAAAUUUAGUGUAUACACAUUUAGCCAUGUAUAAAUGCAUUAUGGCCGUGACAUGGACUGAGCCAUUCAACAUUUUUUCUCCUCUAUUCUAUUGCUUCAAGGGCAAAUUUUACCAUGGACCAUGGUCCAUGUAGCAGCAUGGAUCAUAAAGCAAAACGAUGUAUCAUUUUAAUUAAAUUUUAGUUUCAUUUGACAAUGUUGUUAUAUUUUUUAGUUUCAUUUUUCACGCACAUUAGUUUCAUUAUAGUAAAUACUAAUAUUAUUUUAAUUUUACUACAAUUUCAUUUGACAAUAUACGUUAUUGCAUUAAUUCUAUUUUUCACACACAAGUUAAAUUAUAGUAACGUUAUACUUUUAAGUACACUUCAUGUUCAUUUGAAAAUAUAUGUUAUUGUAAGAGUUUUGUUUUUUAGUUUCAUUUUUCACACACUAUAUUUUAAUAAUAUUAAAAUAUUAUUUUAACUCUAUUAUAAUUUUAUUUAAUAAUUGUAUAUGAUCCACAUAGUACUAUCUGAAAACUAGCGUAAGGCUGUAGGCCAGCUUAUUGUAUUUGCAAGUUUCUCAGUCCAGACUAGAAGAUGUCUGAAUUUUUUGUUGUUUUGAACAAAACUUAUUUGUGUGGCCAUUGGCAGAUUCGUAAACGACUACCAAAUUGAACAAAGAAGAGGAUUAUAAUAUGGUCACUAGUAAAUCACUGCCUGAUGGAUGCAAGCAUUCUUAUACCAGGACAUUUGAUACGUGUUCAUUUUAAAAUCAUGUAAGCUUAAAAUCACUACUUGAGUAACACAAACAUUGGUGAGAAUUCAAUGCCCCGAAAACCUAAGGGUUCCUCCGCAAGGUUCGUCCACGGAUGGUGAGUCAGGGCUUAAGAUCAGGUUGAAAGGCGUAGUCGAUGGACAACAGGUGAAUAUUCCUGUACUAUUGCAUUGUUGGGUCCCGAGGGACAGAGGAGGCUAGGUUUGCUGAAAGAUGGUUUUCGGUUCAAGAACGUAAGGUGCCCUUUCAGGGUAAGAAGGGGUAGAGAAAAUGCCUCGUACGAGGCGCUACGACGCUGAAGUAACCAUGCCAUACUUCCAGGAAAAGCUCGAACGAUCAACCACAAAAGUGUACUUGGGACAGAGGAGGCUAGGUUUGCUGAAAGAUGGUUUUCGGUUCAAGAACGUAAGGUGCCCUUUCAGGGUAAGAAGGGGUAGAGAAAAUGCCUCGUACGAGGCGCUACGACGCUGAAGUAACCAUGCCAUACUUCCAGGAAAAGCUCGAACGAUCAACCACAAAAGUGUACUUGUACCUGAAACCGACAUAGGUGGGUAGGUAGAGAAUACCUCGGGGCGCGAGAUAAUUCUCUCUAAGGAACUCGGCAAAAUAGCCCUGUAACUUCGGGAGAAGGGGUGCCUCCUCACAAAGGGGGUUGCAGUGACCAGGCCUAGGCGACUGUUUACAAAAAAACACAAGUAUUCGCAAAGUCGUAAGACCAUGUAUGGGGGCUGACGCCUACCCAGUGCCGGAAGGUUAGGGAAGUUGGUGACUUGAUGACAGGGGAGCUAGCGACCGAAGCCUCGGUGAACGGCGGUCGUAACAAUAACGGUCAUAAGGUAGCGAAAUUCCUUGUCGGUAAGUUCCGACCCGCACGAAAGGCGUAACGAUUUGGGCACUGUCUCGGAGAGAGGCUCGAUGAAAUAGACAUGUCUGUGAAGAUGCGGACUACCAGCACCUGGACAGAAAGACCCUAUGAAGCUUCACUGUUCCCUGGGAUUGGCUUUGGGCCCUUCCUGCGCAACUUAGGUGGAAGGCGAAGAAGGCCUUCUUCCGAGGGGGCCCGAGCAAUCAGUGAGAUACCACUCUGGAAGGGCUAGAAUUCUAACCUUGUGCCAGGACCUACGGGCCAAGGGACAGUUUCAGGUAGACAGUUUCUAUGGGGUGUAGGCCUGCGAAAAGGUAACGGAGGCGUGCAAAGGUUUCCUCGGGCCGGACGGAGAUUGGCCCUUGAGUGCAAAGGCAGAAGGGAGCUUGACUACAAGACCCACCUGUCGAGCAGGGACGAAAGUCAGCCUUAGUGAUCCGACGGUACCGAGUGGAAGGGUCGUCGCUCAACGGAUAAAAGUUACUCUAGGGAUAACAUGUUGAUCUUCCCCAAGAGCUCACAUCGACGGGAAGGUUUGGCACCUCGAUAUCGGCUCUUCGCCACCUGGGGCUGUAGUAUGUUCCAAGGGUUGGGUUGUUCGCCCAUUAAAGCGGUACGUGAGCUGGGUUCAGAACGUCGUGAUGAGAUAGUUCGGUCCAUAUCCGGUGUGGGCGUUAGAGCAUUGAGAGGACCUUUCCCUAGUACGAGAGGACCGGGAAGGACGCUAUUAUAUAUUUGGAUUUAUAAUAUAUUAAAAAUAAAUUUGUAUUAAAAUAUAAUGAAUUUACAGUAUAUUAGAAAUGAAUAUAUAUCCACUUCAUUUGUGAGUUGCAAGCACCUAAGCUAGUUCAUUAUCUGUGAGUUGAAAUUGAUUAGGUAUAGAAUAAUAUCAAGACCUUCCUGGUGGUCUCUGCUCAAGCAUAGUUGUUAGGAUAAAUAAUAAUAAUAAUAAUAAUAAUAAUAAUA
rnacentral:rRNA from 1 species